AUUGAACGCUGGCGGCAUGCCUUACACAUGCAAGUCGAACGGCAGCACGGGAGCAAUCCUGGUGGCGAGUGGCGAACGGGUGAGUAAUAUAUCGGAACGUGCCCAGUCGUGGGGGUAACGUAGCGAAAGCUACGCUAAUACCGCAUACGAUCUAUGGAUGAAAGCGGGGGAUCGCAAGACCUCGCGCGAUUGGAGCGGCCGAUAUCAGAUUAGGUAGUUGGUGGGGUAAGGGCUCACCAAGCCGACGAUCGGUAGCUGGUCUGAGAGGGCGACCAGCCACACUGGGACUGAGACACGGCCCAGACUCCAACGGGAGGCAGCAGUGGGGAAUUUUGGACAAUGGGCGCAAGCCUGAUCCAGCAAUGCCGCGUGCAGGAUGAAGGCCUUCGGGUUGUAAACUGCUUUUGUACGGAACGAAACGGCGAGCUCUAAUACAGUUUGCUAAUGACGGUACCGUAAGAAUAAGCACCGGCUAACUACGUGCCAGCCGCCGCAGUAA
rnacentral:rRNA from 1 species